rnacentral:misc_RNA from 1 species
UGAAUACUCUUGGCAGGGUCCCGGAAC